UUGCACAAUGGGGGAAACCCUGAUGCAGUAACGCCGCGUGCGGGACGAAGGCUUUCGGGUCGUAAACCGCUUUUCGGAGGGACGAGUGAGGACGGUACCUCUGGAAUCAGUCUCGGCUAACUACGUGCCAGCAGCCGCGGUAAAACGUAGGAGGCGAGCGUUAUCCGGAUUCACUGGGCGUAAAGCGCAUGUAGGCGGUUGUGCAAGUCGGACGUGAAAGCCCCUGGCUCAACUGGGGGAGGAGGUUCGAGACUGCGCGACUUGAGGGUAGCAGAGGAGAGUGGAACUCCCGGUGUAGCGGUGGAAUGCGUAGAGAUCGGGAAGAACACCAGUGGCGAAGGCGACUCUCUGGGCUACGACUGACGUUGAGAUGCGAAAGCGUGGGGAGCAAACGGGAUUAGAUACCCCGGUAGUCCACGCCCUAAACGAUGAGGGCUGGGUGUGGGUGGAUUAACCAUCCGUAGCCGAAGCGAACGCGUUAAGCCCUCCGCCUGGGGACUAUGAGCGCAAGCUUA
rnacentral:rRNA from 1 species